AUGGAUAUUGAACCUAGAUUUCUGACAAAACGUCGUGUUAUGAGAAAAAUACAUUUUGAUGAAAAUAAUGACGAUGAAGAAAAUGUAAUAAAUGCAGAAGCGCAAGCAGCUGAGGAGGAGUCCUUUAGAGUUAAAUAUUUUCUAGUCAUGAUAGAUGUAGCGAUUGCUUCACUAACCAAAAGAUUUGAGGAUUUGAAGUCAUUUGAAAGUAUAUUUGGUUUCUUGUUCAACUCCGAAAAAUUGAAGUCUUUGGAUGAUAAAGAACUUAGAGAAUGUUGCACUAAAUUUUCAAAUACGUAUUCUCAUGUUAGCUCGUCAGAUGUUAAUUUAGAUGAUUUCUGUUCUGAAUUAAGAGUGCUUCAAAUGACUUUACCAAAUAGAUUAAUGUCAGCAGAUGAGAUUUUUGAUUUUGUUAGAGCUGCAGAUUGCUAUCAAAAUGUGUCCAUUGCUUAUCGAAUCCUCUUAACUGUUACUGUUACUGUAGCAUCUGCUGAAAGAAGUUUUUCAAAACUAAAAUUACUAAAGAACUAUUUGAGAUCAACUAUGUCACAAGAGAGAUUGAAUGGCUUGGUCAUGUGCUGUAUUGAGAAAGAUAUGUUGGACAACAUUGAUCUUGACACUAUUAUUAGUGAUUUUGCCUCUAAAAAUGCUCGAAGGUGUCGCUUCUCUUGA
rnacentral:rRNA from 1 species